rnacentral:rRNA from 1 species
ACGCUGGCGGCAUGCUUUACACAUGCAAGUCGGACGGCAGCACAGAGAAGCUUGCUUCUUGGGUGGCGAGUGGCGAACGGGUGAGUAACAUAUCGGAACGUACCGAGUAAUGGGGGAUAACUAAUCGAAAGAUUAGCUAAUACCGCAUAUUCUCUGAGGAGGAAAGCAGGGGACCUUCGGGCCUUGCGUUAUUCGAGCGGCCGAUAUCUGAUUAGCUAGUUGGUGGGGUAAAGGCCUACCAAGGCGACGAUCAGUAGCGGGUCUGAGAGGAUGAUCCGCCACACUGGGACUGAGACACGGCCCAGACUCCUACGGGAGGCAGCAGUGGGGAAUUUUGGACAAUGGGCGCAAGCCUGAUCCAGCCAUGCCGCGUGUCUGAAGAAGGCCUUCGGGUUGUAAAGGACUUUUGUCAGGGAAGAAAAGGCUGUUGCUAAUACCGACAGUUGAUGACGGUACCUGAAGAAUAAGCACCGGCUAACUACGUGCCAGCAGCCGCGGUAAUACGUAGGGUGCGAGCGUUAAUCGGAAUUACUGGGCGUAAAGCGAGCGCAGACGGUUACUUAAGCAGGAUGUGAAAUCCCCGGGCUCAACCUGGGAACUGCGUUCUGAACUGGGUGACUAGAGUGUGUCAGAGGGAGGUAGAAUUCCACGUGUAGCAGUGAAAUGCGUAGAGAUGUGGAGGAAUACCGAUGGCGAAGGCAGCCUCCUGGGAUAACACUGACGUUCAUGCUCGAAAGCGUGGGUAGCAAACAGGAUUAGAUACCCUGGUAGUCCACGCCCUAAACGAUGUCAAUUAGCUGUUGGGCAACUUGAUUGCUUAGUAGCGUAGCUAACGCGUGAAAUUGACCGCCUGGGGGAGUACGGUCGCAAGAUUAAAACUCAAAGGAAUUGACGGGGACCCGCACAAGC